rnacentral:sRNA from 1 species
GUGAUCUGAAAAAUGGGGAGGAGAAUCCUCUUACUGGUUGCAAUAGACCUUCCUAGCCUAACACUGCAGACAACGAGGCCCAUCAGAAGAACCAAGGAGGAGGAAGACUGAAGAAGUACACACAGUACUCCAAGCCAAUGAACUUUGGCAUGCCAUGCAGAGUUUGCUAAGUCAUUUCAGGCCACUCCCCUCAACUUCCCUGAGCUGGAAUGAAGGCAUUUUCACCUGGAGGAGCUUCUUAGAAAUGGUUCUUACCUUCUCUGGUCAAGUCAACACUUCCAUACGUAAAUAACACCUGCAAGUGCUCCACUAGGAGACAAAAGAGAAAGCAACAGGUAAAUUAGGGCAAACAAGCUUCUGAUCACCUUCUAGCUCUGGGUAGAGAAAUGGUGAUGAUUUCCAAUCUUGGCUGUUUCUAGAAUUCAUAAAGCAAAACAGGAAGGAAAGUGGGUGUGUAGCACCUCUGGUCAAACAAGAGUAAGCAG